AGCUAGUUAAUAUAAAGGUAGUAUAUCGGCCUCUUAGCGAAAGCGGUUUCGUUUACCUUAUACGAAACUAUAUAUUACCUUUAAGCGUUAAAGGUUAUAGGUUCGAUUCCCGUACUAGCUA
rnacentral:tRNA from 1 species